AAUAAAGCUCAGGGCUGGAGUACGAGCUGGCAAGACAGCAGUAGCUGUGGGCAAGCAGGCUGGCAAGGCAAAGGCCACAGGGACGGGCAAUGAGGUGAAGGCCACAGUCUGCAAACAGAACACAGCCAGGGAACUGGGUGGCAAGAAGAGCAGAACCAGGGCUUUCAGGAUCCAGCAAAGCAGGGCAUUUACAGCAGAGCGGCAUCUCUGGAGGCGGGCAGAGCAGGCCUCACCAGUGAACAGUCACAGAAACAGUCUACCAUUUAUGCCCCCAUUAGCAGUGGUUGGCGCUCAUGGUGCAUUAAGAUGUCUGACAUAGCACCAGGGACACGCGGUGAGGUUUCCACCCAUUUCUCAGCGUCGAGUAGGUGGUUGGUGCUCUCCACCAACUCCAUCUCCUCUGUCUCUGCCACAUGGACUAACUCCAGUAGCCAGUCCUCCAGCUGCCUGAGGUGAUCCUCCAGCUCCGGAUCACUCCCACCUCUCUUUCCUCGGCAUAGGUCCUGAUAUCUGCCCCAAAGAGCAAACCAGGUAGGAAUGGGAACACUCACCUGGAGCACGGCAGUGGGGUUUGGGGUUAGGAGCAUGGGCUAUCCUCUUUCCCACCAUAGGAGGACCAGUAAGGCAUCCACUUCAGUGGAGCUAUUCGUGGGCCUGCAGUCUCCUCAGGUCCAUCCUCCUCUGGCUCUUCCAGGUCACUGUCACUCGGGGGGGGGGGGGGGGUCAAUGAGAGGGCUAUCCACAAACCACUGGGGUGUGGACACUAGAACACUGAGGGGAGGCUGGAAGCAGGCUGUAAUAUGGAGAGUGCUAGGCUCGCACAGAAAGCUGCUGGGCAGCUUGAGGAGUCCAGUCAUUCAGUCACAUCAAGGACAAGGAGGCAAAGGCAGGCAGGGGGAAAACCCAAAAGAGCACACUGGGGAGUACAUGCAGGCAGCAACAUGAAUGACUGGACUGGGGAUUAUAGGACUGAAGGACGCCUUAUACAGGGCACGUAAGGGAGCAGACGAGAGGCACCUGGGGUGAUCCACACGAGGGCUGCAACGAGAGGUAAGAUUAAACAGGCAACAGGUGUGGCUUGUUAGAGCUACACAAGGGAGAGAAUGAGUGGGAAGGGAUGCAGGGUGUGACAAUGGUGGCUAUCAGAGAGUGUGACCUCCCUGCUGAGACUGAUUGGUACAUCGCAGUUAUGAAAUCUAAUACAAAAAAUACAUUUUUGACUGCUGUAUUACUGCUUUUUCCUGGAAAUUUAUGGGGUCACAACAUCUGAUGGCAGCUAUAUCAAAUAGUGUCCCUUCUGAUCUACAGAAAUGGUCUAUUUUUUUGGUCACUAAACCUUUUUGUCGUGGUCUUGCUUGGCCCUAAACAUAAGGCUUGAACAUACUUCUGUGUUUGUGUGAUUUGAAAAUACUUGUAAAAAUUUUUUAUAAACUAUUUGAAAUACACCAAUCAUUCCCUGCUCUAUCAGCAUUGCUUCCAAAUUAAAAGUGUGCAUUCAACAUACAUAAGCAUUCUUAAGUAUUUUAUAGUUCAAUAUAUUACAAUAAUUAAAAACUUAAGAAGCAAAAAUAGUUUUUUUUCCAUUUGUUUUAGCUUAUUAUAUUUACUUUAAAAUACUAAAUUUAUAAGUGAUAUGUGAAGUCAGAAUUUGUAAUAGCUGCCAUCAGAUGUAUAAUCGUAUAAAAAUCUGAUACAAUGUGAAGACAACAUUAGAAGUGUGUAAAAACGGUGAACAUGUGGAUGUGCGUGGGUGCAGCAGACCGACAGCUGGUGCAGUUGCUAGGCAAUAAGGUAGGCUUUGUUUUUCUGCUACCAGUCAUAUAUAAGCAUAGACCAGGCCAGUCGUCACCAUCUUACCCGUUUUAAACCAUUUACGGACACAGGAUGUAUAUACAAAUAUGAUCGAGAAGAAAAAAGAACUGUGGUAGAAACAAAAAAAAGAAAGAAAAAAAAAUGGGACAACAUGUAGUGAAAUGUAACCCUGGUCACUCCAAGCAGCAGGGCCUGAUAAGAGAAUGAUAAAAUAUAUAAAAAUAACAAUACAAAAUAAAAAAUAUAUGAAAAAUGUUCAGCUGUACAUAAUCUAUACCUGAGUAAUAAGGUAAAAGUGAUUGUGCUGUGCAAUAUAAGUGCAAUGUGCAAGAGACCUGAGACAUGUACCGACAAUUUGGAUAGUAUGAACUGAAUGUAAACAGUACUCAUAGGAUUAUGAGCACUCGUACACAGUAUGCAGAGAGUGAGGCCUGUGUUACAGUCACUGAAGAGUCACUGUAGAAGCCAGUGGAAGACCUAGGGGCACUGAGACUUGUCCUGGUUUAGGAGCCUGGGGAAAAAAAAGCUCCUCCUUGACCUUUCAGUUUUGGGCAUAAGGCUGUGGAACCGUUUGCCUGAGUUCAGCAGGCAAAACAAAGAGUUAUUGGGGUGGGAUGGGUCCUUGAAGAUUUUUGUUGCUCUGGUCCUACGGCGGCUGUUGUAAAUGCCUUGUAGCUCAGCUGCUCUAACCACCCUCUGCAGUGCUUUCUGGUCCUGGACAAAGCAGUUCCCGAACCAUGAUGUAAUGCUCAUGGUCAGUAUGCUCUAUACAGCAGCCAAGUAGAAGGCCUUAAGGACAACAGGAGAGAACUUAAACCUCCUCAGCUGCCUCAGAUGGUAGAGCUGCUGCCUCUUCUUGCUGACUAGAGCACGUGUGUGUGUGUGGACCAGGUGAGGUCCUCCUGGAGAUGGACACUGAGUGUUCACCCUCUCCACUAUAGCACCGUUGAUGUUGACAGGUGGGUAAGAGCCACAAAACGACAGCAAAUGACAAAAUGCAUUUCUCAGAAUCAAUUUCGUCCAUGAAAUGACUAUCAUUUGUAUUUUUCUACAAAAUGACGUUCUUCUUUCCACAAAAUGCGAAGUACUGAUAUCAAUUCUGUGCACAAAAUGAAACAUUCCUUUUGAUUUCUGUGCAGGAAAGAAAAUCUUUCUGCUUUUGUGGACAGAAUGCAGAAAGGCAUUUCUUGAUUUAAUAAAUAAAUAAUUUUUUUUGUGGCACACAAUGUAUUUUUGUACAUGAAAAUGAGCGCUUGACAUUUGGCGCCCCAUACCUGACACUCUCCUGCACCAUGUCUCCCUCACAAACACAUCCAAGCUUUCCGGAAAGAGAAACAGCACACAUAACAUAGCGACUAGGUGGCCUUCCUCUGGAGACCCAUAGAAGUACUGUAAAUAUUGGAGAUUUACUAAAUCUCCUCUUGGUAAUAAAUAGGACUUUCUGCCAGCACUACCUAUGCACUAAACGAUUCUGAGUUUUUCGUAACUGAAUAACUUACUUUAUGGCGUUUUCCAAAUAAAUCCCAGAUCUGGCCCGAUUUUGAUUGGCUUCUUAUUCAUUCUUAUUCCGUAACUGCAAACACAGUGGAUGAGAAUUUACACAAACACAAUUUACUGCUGUGUUAUCAGCUUUACUAUUUGUGCUAUGCCGAUAACUAACCAAGCUAGUUACAGUUUGCGUAAUUAAAUAAGAUAAUCUAUAUGAAACUUAAUCGACAUGAGACGACUGAAUUCCACAAUGUCACUUUAACUGAUUAACUGUUGGUUAUCAGGUCUUCAAUGAGUUAAGUUUACAUACAAAGUCACACCAUGAUUCUGCCCUCACCACUCUCUUUACUCUUGGGUCUAGAAGUGAGCGUCUGCCUGCCGGAGCGGGAGUAGUGAUGGAAAACUGCAAAAAAAAAAAAAAAAAAAAACAGCGAUGUAAUGUGUCAGGCACGGGCGAGAAGGGAGACAAAGAUCCAAGAAUGCAGGGAAAACGAGACUUUAAUUAAGUCGACGGAGGACCAGCAAAGAAAGGGAAUGGCUCCGCACAGCGAAGGAGUGCUGUCUCCUUAGCUAGAGCGCUGACAGAGAGCGCUGUGGGCGAGGGUGCCAUCGCAAGUGCUGAAAGCCGAUGGUAAGGUACAGAAGGGGCGCGCAGGAAUCGGGGUCGUUGUCCGUAAGCAGGGCUGAGGGUCCCUCGUCAUCCACCGGAGGCAGACUGUCCUCGGAGGCGUCAGAAACUGGUCGUAACGGGCUGUCCUUGACAGGUUUGAGGAGAGAUACGUGAAACGUGGGACAUAUCCUGUACAUGCGGGGAAGUUGCAACCUCACCGUUACUGGUCCUACUCUCCUCAGGAUCCGGAAUGGUCCGAUAUAACGGGCAGUGAGCUUCCUACACCCUGGAAUCUGAAGGUUCUUCGUUGACAGCCACACACACAGCCCAGUUCUGUAGGGAAAGCCAGAUAAGCGGUGACGAUCAGCCUGAGCCUUAUGUCGAUCUGCCUGAGUACGGAGGGCCGUUUGGAUCUGACACCAGGCUCGCUUGCUGUCUUGGUACCAGGUCUCCACACGUGGCACUGCUCCCGGUGGAGAAUCCCAGGGGAACAGGGGAGGCUGGAAUCCUAGCACGCAUUGGAAAGGAGUCAAUUUGGUAACCGGACUCACCUGAGAGUUAAGAGAAUAUUCCACCCAAAUCAGAUGGGAGGACCAGCCUGCCGGAUCGGUCCUGCACAGCAGGCGGAGGGCUUUGGAUACCUCCUGGUUAGUGCGUUCGGCUAAUCCAUUAGCCUGGGGAUGGUAAGCAGAGGUAAGACUGAGCGAUACCCAUAGCUUAGAACAGAACUCCCGAAACACUCUGGACAUGAACUGAGGUCCUCGAUCUGACACGAGGUCCUCAGGUAUGCCUGUAAAACGGAAGAGCUCGUUAAGAUUUCAGCGAUUUCAGGACUUAAGGUACGUGACUUACAUCUAGCACAAUCAGGACAGCUGUCUACAAAGGUUUGGACUUGUUGCCGCCAACCGGGCCACCAAUACCGACGGGCAACAAGAAGCCGGGUCGAGGAUACCCCGGGAUGCCCCGUUCCAGGCUGGGCAUGAAUCCAACGGAGUAAAUCCUGUCGAUGAGAAGGUGAUGGAUGAAACAAAACACGAAGGAUGCAGGACUGGGUAGGUGCAUUCCGUACUUUCCGGGGGAUCGAACUGUCUGGACAGAUUGUCGCCUUUCACGUUCUUCUUACCAGGCAGGUAACUGACACGGAAUGUGAAGCGAGCAAACCACUGAGCCCAGCGAGCUUGACAAGAGAAGUCAGCUUGUUCGAGAAGUAUGCACAAGGAUGCCGCCGUCCCGUCUCAGGAUCCCGCUGGAUUAGGAUGGCCCCCACUCCAGCCUCGGACGCGUCCACUUCCACCUCGAAAGGGAGCUCAGGUCGCGGCUGCUUCAGCACCGGGGCCAUGCAGAACCCUUGUUUUAACCGGGUAAAGGCUUGAUCGUCCUCAGGGAUCCAGAGAAGUCGAGCAGGUUUCCCAUGAGUAAGCGUGGUGAGAGGGGCAGCAAUCCUGCUGAAAUUCCGAAUGAAUCUUCGAUAGAAAUUGGCAAAUCCGAGAAAGCGCUGUAGUUCCUUGAGGGUUCUGGGCUGCGGCCACUCCUGUAUUGCCGUGAUCUUUUGAUCAUCCAUAGCAACAACACCGGGUUGGAUGACGUACCCCAAGAAUUUCACUGAGCUCUGGUGAAACUCGCACUUCUCCCCGUUAAUGUAGAGGUUAUGUUCUCUCAGCCGUUGUAACACUUGCGUGAUGCACGUGAACCUGCUUAGAAGGUGAAUAAAUCAGAAUGUCGUCGAUGUAAACCACCACAAACUUGUACAACAUGUCAUGGAACACUCCAUUCAUAAAGGAUUGAAAGAUAGAGGGGCUAUUAACCAACCCAUAAGGCAUCACGAGGUACUCAUACUGCCUCCUACUGGUGAUGAAAGACGUCUUCCAUUCAUCCCCAUCUCGGAUCCUCACCAGGUUAUAAGCGCUGCGCAAGUCCAGCUUUGUGAAAAUCAACGCCUCUCGGAGCUGUUCUAAGGCGGAGGGGAUUAACGGGAGUGAUUCUCUCCGCUUAAUUGUGACGGCAUUCAGGGCUCGGUAGUCCACCACUGGGCGCAGCCCCCCAUCUUUCUUCUUAAUGAAGAAGAAGCCAGCCAUCACUGGAGAGGUGGAGGGCUGAAUUAUUCCCUGCUUAAGUCCCUCGCGGAUGUAGGUCUCCAAAGAUUCCUCCUCCUGUAACGAAACAGGGUACAGUCUGCCACGGGGUAAGGUAGCGCCAUCUAAAAGAUCAAUGGAACAAUCGUAAUCCCGAUGAGGAGGAAUUUUAAAUGUCUUUUUCUUACUAAACACCUCCUUGAAGUCUUGGUACUCCACAGGAAUAACAUCCAGGUUCUCCGGUUCGGGGCUUUCUAUUCCUGUAGCUUUACAAGGAUGAGCCAUGCAAUCCUGUCGACACUGUUCUGACCACGCUACAAUCUCCCCGGUCCGCCACUCGAGGUGAGGGUUAUGAAGAAGUUCCGGGAUCGCUCUGCUUAUAAAAGAGGUUAAUUGUCCGUCGAUGAGCUGCACCUGUCGAGCCCCGCCCCCGUGGGUGUGACAUAAUGAAAUAUGUUAAUAUUUUAAUUUAAUUUAAUUUAAUUUAAUGUUUUUGUAAACCAGGCAUCAUAUGUGAUAUUACUGGUAGAUUGCAGAAAAGUUGGAUUGAUUGGUCAGUGGCAAGCGGUUGUAUUGGUAAUUAAUGUGUUAUCCUGCGUUCAAUUAUGUCUCUCUGAGUCAGAACUCGGAUGAAAACAUCACGAAACAUCACUUCCCGUUGGAAACAUGCCUCUUUUAUGAUGUUGAUGUCGGACAGAAUUUUCUUGUCCGAGUUUCCCGUGACACAAUUUCAACAUGGCGGGUUACACACUGAACAGUUAUUCUAUUUUAUAAAUCUUCAAAAAUGUUUAUUUUGUUAAAUGUAUUAAUAGUUAUAAAUGUAAUUGCACGUGUUUGAU